rnacentral:lncRNA from 1 species
CUCAAUGAUCUUAAACGAGGUACUAAGACUAUAUCCACCUGUGAAUCUUCUGUAUCGACAUACUCUAAAGGAAACAAGCAUUCGAGGAAUGUCCAUUCCAGCUGGAGUAGACCUCCUGUUACCAUUCCUGUUUCUUCACUAUGAUCCUGAGUAUUGGGGAGACAACGCAGAAGAAUUCAAACCAGAGAGAUUCUCUGAAGGAGUUUCGAAAGCAUCAAAGGAUGAAAUUGCAUUUUACCCUUUUGGUUGGGGCCCUAGAUUUUGUCUAGGCCAAAACUUUGCCUUGACUGAAGCAAAGAUGGCUCUUACUAUGAUUCUACAAAAUUUCUGGUUUGAGCUUUCACCCUCUUACACGCAUGCUCCUUGUAAUGUCAUAACUCUUCAACCACAACAUGGAGCUCCUAUUAUACUACACCAAUUAUAAGGUUUACAUAGUACUUUGGUGUCUUAGGAAGGGAAGCAACUCAGUUGAAUGAGUCACAGCAGGUUGUCCCAAUGUUUUGUUGUCAACCAGGAACAAGUUGGUGCAGUGGAGAGUGUUGUUUCUAUGCAUAAUGUUGCCAUCUGCUAUUGUAUUAAAGUGAUUAUUCCCUUUGCUUUCUUUUGGUUCUGAUGAUUGUUCAUAGUUUGUGCUUCUGAAAACACCACCUAAUGGAGAAAGAUGCUUAUUUCCUUCAAUCUUUUAUUGUUCUCUGCUGCUUUCUCAUCUUCCAUUCAAGGGAGAGAGCACAAGUAACUCCUGGAACUUGUCCUUUCCUUUUUGUACCCAGUAAAAUAGAUAGAUACAUCCCAAAGAUUUGGCUUUUUAUUACUAUGACUUGUUAUAUUAAGACUCGAAUUAAAAUGGAGAUUUUUAUGGACCUCCACUGCUCAUAAGGUGCGUGAGGAACUGUGUUUUGGGUAUCCUCUGUUUUUUUUAUGUAGCCAUGAUUGCUGUAAUUUAACCUCUUCAAUAGUUUAAUUGUCUCUGAUUUUUUAACUUUUUAGAAUUGAUACAAAUUAAAACAAUCUUUGAUUGAAUCCUAAACUUUUUUAACUUUUUUAUGUAGCCAUGAUUGCUGUAGUUUAAUUGUCUCUAAACUUGAUUUUUUUUAAUAGAAUCCUUGAUUGAAUCGAUAAACUAUUAAAAGUUAAAUUAAAUUUUUAAACGUAAUUAAUUCUUACUAUUUAUAUCUGACUUUUAAACUUUUUUUUUCAAUUAAGUUUUUAAUUAAACCCAUUAAAAAUUUAAUUAAAACCUUAAAUUUAAUUAAUUCUUCUAAUACUGGUUAAGUUGGAUUUUAACCUUCACUUUCUUUCCGGUAAGUCUUUCUUUAGCUCAUCAAAUUAAAAUAUCAUAGUAUGGUUAUUUUGGUUUGUUGCAACUUGAGGACUUAUCUCCUCGUGUCUUGAAAAUAUUUUUGUAUUUUAAAUUUUGAAAUGUUUUUAUUUUUGAAUGCAAUUAACAUGAACAGUGCAAGAAAAGCAAGGAAUCCUUGCUUUUCUUUAACUGCGUUUUCAAAGCAAAAAAUAAGUGGGAUCCAUGAACAUUACAUGACUUUUUUCCUUAACCAAAUAGUUGCAAACUGCGUUUUAAUUAAAACGCAGCCGCAACCGCAUAAACAAACGGGCUCUUAAUUUGACCCGGUGAAAAACAUAGGUUGACUCGAUGUAAAACCCAAUCGACCUGGUCCAUUUUCAUUGAAUCAAAAUAUCAUAGUCUGAUUAUUCUGGUUUGUUGCAGCUCAAGAGCUUAUCUCCUCGUAUCUUGAAAAUAUUUUUUUAUUUUUAAAUAAAAAAAUAUAUUAUUUGUAAAAAAAACUUUUUUGGGGAUCCAAAAUUGAGUUGUGACAUCAUUAUGCAAUUUUUACUCUAAAAUAAAAAAAAUUAAAAAUUAAAAAAAUUGAAAGUUCAAGGCUUUGAUCCUAGUUAUAAAAUCUAAACUAGUUCGAAAGGUUUACUCGAGACUUGGUUAACCUGAAGCAUGGACUAGAUUGAGUUAAACAAACAGAAGUUAGUUAAUUUGACCCGGUUAAAAACAUAGGUUUACUCGAGGUAAAACUCAAUCGAUCUAGUCCUAAAUUUAUUGAUGUUUUUUCAAACAAAAAAAAAAAAUCAAAACAGCACUAUUUUAGUUAUUUUUUAAAAAUUAAAUCAAUAUGAUUUGACCUUUAUGGUCUAUGACUAGAACUUUGCUCCCAGUUAAAUUUUAGAACUAUGACUUAUUAUCUUAAUGGAUAUUUGAGAGUAUGGUAAUGGUUAUUUUUUAAAGUGUUUUUUGUUCGAAAAUAUAUUAAAAUAUUUUUUUAAAAUUAUUUUUGACAUCAAAACGAUAUGAAAAAAAAGCAUCAAUAAUUUAAAGUAAAAAAAUAAAAAAUAUAUUUAAAAAAAACAUUUUUAAAACAUAAAAUUUGUUUCUAAUGGAUCUUCACUGUCGAUUUGAACAGUGAAUCUGCGCAAGGAACUCAAUUUUGGACGUACUCGGAAGGUUGGGUGAGCAGAUCGGAGAAUGGAUGGAUUCAAAUUACAAAGCUGAUGUGAGCAGCUUGGACAAUAGCAAGUGGUGGGCUCAUUUUACUGCGAGGCGAUUUUUCCAGCCUGCCUGUGGUCCUCUUGCAAGUGGAUUGUAUUCCACUAGGGGUGUGCCGCGUGUUUGCGUGUGUGAGAGGGGAAGAUUCCGGUGACUUUUCCAAGUGAAAAAUGUGUCUAUGAUAAAUCAAUAUAUAUCACUUAUGUUUUUGUCAUAAAUGAAAAAAAAUAUUUAAAAGAUAUUUGAAAUCAUAUUCAUUAAUUUAUUAACUAGAAGAAAUAUAAAUACCUCAUGCAUUUUUUUAUAUAAAUAGUGAACCAUCUCUUCUUCUUUUUUUUUUUUUUAAUUUUUAAAUCUUUUCUUUUGAUAGACUCUUCUACAGUUAAAUUUGAUAAAAUUAUAUUCUUUUUUCUUUUUCCCCCCUUCAAUUUAGCUCUCUUUUUUUUAAUUUUAAUUUUAUUAUUUUUUCUCAAUUUCAUUGUUAGAUUUUUUUUUACAAUUAUCUAGCUUGGUUUUAGACUAAUCAAGUUAAUUAGAUCGUGUCGAUACAAUGUUUACACGGUUUAAUUUUAAAUACGAGUCAAACAACGAGUCGAGUUGAGAGUUUUUUCUUUUAAUUUCAUUGAGUUUUUUAAAAAAAUAUUUCUCAAACUUUUUUUAUUGGUCAGAUGAGUUGUUUUUGGAUCGAAAAAGUAGAUUAGAUUAUGCCAAAAAAACUAUCAUAUUAUUUAAUUUUAAACCAAAAUUAAACAUAAAAUUGGGUAGGAAUGCUUAUUUCCUUCGAUCUGUUAUUGUUCUCUGCUGCUUUCUCAUCUUCCAUUCAAGGGAGAGAGUACAAGUAACUCCUGGAACUUGUCCUUUCCUUUUUGUACCCAGUAAAAUAGAUAGAUACAUCCCAAAGAUUUGGCUUUUUAUUACUAUGACUUGUUAUCUGAAGACUCAAAAGAAAAAGGAGUUUUUUAUGGACCUUCAUUGUUUAUAAGGUGAGCGAAGAACUCUGUUCUGGGUGUCCUCUGUUUUUUUUUUUUUAGCCAUGAUGAUUGCAAUAAUUUAAUCUCUUCAAGUUUUAAUUCUCUCUCAUUUUUUAACUUUUUAGAAUUGAUAUAAAUUAUAAUACAAAUAAUUAUAUUUAGAAACUUAAAAUUAAAAAAACCUUGAAUUCUAAUGCAAAACUCAUUAGCCUUGGUCCUGUGUUAGGAUCCAAGAGAUUGGAUCCUAACAAAAGACCAGUAAUAUUGGGUUAGGCAAGGCUAGAGACCCAAGAAAUUUGGGUUUGCGUCCUAACCAAACCUAAACUUCUUUGGACGUCGCUUUUUUUUUCUGCCUCAAGUUUCUUGAAUCUAAAAAAAAAUGUCUGACCCAAAAAAAAGGAAAAAAAAAUAAAAUCAAAUUACUGAUGGAUCCUUCUAGGGGCAAGACCCGUCAACUAGUCCUGCUAGAGAUAGAACACACGCUGAUGGGUCAUGCUCGCAGCAAGAGUCAAGAUUUAUAGGCUUGGUGGCGGCUGGACCUAAAGCUAUUUUAGAUCAUAUUUAUAGUUUCAUCAAAAAUCAAUAAGAGAAAAAAAAAAAAAACAAGAGAGUAAAAACUAAAAUUGAAAAUAUCUUAAAAUAUUUUUUAAAAAAUAUAUUGAGAUAAUUUUUUAAAUUUUUUUUAAAAUAUAAUUUAUAUAUAAUCACAUCAAAAUAAUAAUAAAAAUAUCUUAAUAUGAAUUAAGGAAAAUAUUAAUUUGAAGUGAAGAAAAAAUAAAUAAUAAUAAUAAUUGAUUUUACCAUUAAAAUCAAAUCUAUGCUUUUUCUAUAGCAAUAAUAUUUAUUUUAAGUUCAAUAAUAUUAAUCAAUUUAAUAAUAUUUAUAAUAUUAAUAAUAAUAUUUAACUUCUCUGCCUAAUUUUAUAUAUUUUCAAUCUUUUAAAAACAAUUUAUGCUUUCUUCGAUGAUAGUAAUAAUUGUUUUUUUUUAAAUUUGGUAAUGGCAAUAACAAUAACAAAAAAGUGAUAAUAAUUCUUAAUUUUACCCUGCAAAUCAAAUAUUUUAUUAUUUUUCAAUAUUAAAAAUAUUUUAUAUAAAUUUAUUAAUUAUUAUAUGAAUAAUAUUAAUUGUAAUACAAAUUAUAUUAUUUAUAAUAAAAAAUAAUAGUAGGUUUAAUAUUAAUGAUAUUAAUUAUAAACAAAUCAUAAUAUUUAUAUCACAAAUAAUAAUAUUUUUCAUAAUAAUAAUUAUAAUUAUAAUAAAAAUAAAAAUAUUUAAAAUACAAAUAAUAAUAAUAUUUAUCAUAUUAAUAAUAGUAUUGAACUUUAUUAACAAUAAUGAUAACAAUAAUAAUAAUAAUUGAUAUUUUUUUUCAUUUUUCUUCUUUGCUCGUGCUACACCGCGGGCUCACCUUUUAUUUUAUUAAAAUAAUAUUAUAAAAAUCUAAGACCCAAAAGCGUUGGGUUUGGCUACUACGUCGGACCCAAGAGCAUUGAGUCUAGCUGCAACACCAAACCCAAUAAUAAUAUUUAUAAUAUUAGUAAUAAUAUUUAACUUGUCUUCCAAAAGUUUUUUUUUAAUCUUUAAAAAAAUUAUGGUUUUUCUUCGAUAGUAAUAAUAGUUUUUAAAAAUUUAAUAAUAAUAAUAAUUAAUAUAUUAUUAUUAUUAUUAUUAUUAUUAACUUUACACUUCAAAUCAAAUCUAUGGUUGUUUUUCAAUAUUGAUAAUAUUUUUUUUUCAAAUUUAUUAAUAAUAUUAUUUAUGAUAAAAAUAAUAAUAUCUAUAACACAAAUAAUACUAUUUUUAAUAUUAAUACUUUUAAUUAUAAUAAAAAUACUAAUAUUUAUAACAAAAAUAAUUAAUUUUUUAGAUUAAUACUUUAAUUAUAAUAAAAAUAAUUAUAAUUAUAAUACAAAUAAUUAUAUUUAAAAACUUAGGACCCAAGACCCUUGAGUCCUAACACAGGAUCCUUAACCCUGGGUUCCGACGUCACACCCAAGAGCUUUUGGUCCUGACACAGCCCAAAACAUUGGGUCCUAAUGCAGGACUCAAGAGAUUCGGUUCUGACGAAGAAUCAAUAAUCUUUGAUCAAGCGGGUCUGUAAAGACCUAAAGGAUUUAAGUCUGCGCCUAGCCACACCUAAGAUCCUUGGGUGAGACACCCUUUCCUACCCCAAGUUUCUUGGAUUUGAAAAAGAAUGCCGAACUCAACAAGAAAGAAAACAAAAUGAAAAACAAUUAUUGGUGGAUCCUGCUAGGGGCAUGACCCAACACUGAUGGAUCAUGUUAAGGAUAGGACCCAUGGCUAAUGGGUCCAGUGGUGGCUGGACCCAAAGCUAUUUUGAAGUAAAGACCAAACUUCAUAUAUUUGUUUUGGAUGUGGUUGUACAACGACACCCAAUCUCAAUAUAUUUAAAAAUAAAAUUUAAAAAAUACAAAACAUAAAAAAUAUUAAUUUGAAGUAAAGAAAACAAUAAAAGAAUUUCAAAAAACAUUCAAUGUAUUUUUGGAACGCAAAACGAAACAUGCUUUAAUAAGGAAAUUCGACCCAACCUGAAAUGAAAAAACAAUUAUCAUCACCUAACUUUUGUAUAAUAUAAAACAAAAUCACAUUAAUUUAUUUUCUCUUUACAGUAUGAAAAAAAAAUCAAUAAGAGAAAAGAGAAAAAAUUUCAAGAGAGAAAAAAAUUAAAAUUAGAAAUAUCUUAAAAUAUUUUUUAAAAAAUAUAUUGAGAUAAUAAUUUUUAUUGUUUUAAAUCUAUUUUUUAUAUAAUCACAUAAAAAAUAAUACAAAAUAUUUUAAUAUGAAUUAAAGGAAAAAUAUUAAUUUAAAGUUAAAAAAAUAAUCUUGUUAUAAAAUUUAUUAACAAUAACAAUAACAAAAUUGUUAUUACUUAUUAUUUUUUUUUUCUUUUUUUUUUCAAAUCUGUUAUUUUUCUAUACGGGUCUGUAGACCCAGCAGCAUGGAUCUACUACCCCUGGGGGAGUCUGCAGACUCCAGACUUGGCAGAACAAAACCCAGGCGUGCCUAGCCGCGUGGUUAUGCAACCCUUGAGGGGGUCUGUAGACCCCAAACAUGACAAAAAAUACCCAAGGGCGGGUCUGAACCUCGCUCCCGACUAUGCACACCUAAGUGCGGGGUUUUGCAAACCUAGGCGAGAGGGUUUGCGACCCUAAAGGCGAGGGUCUGCAAUCGCGAGUGGGCUUGCAAACCCAUACACGCGGGUGUGCAAACCCACUUGCCUGUGUCUACAGCCAUGCACUUUGGUUAUGUCGCUCGUGUUGGUCUGCACCCACCACCUAGGUAUGCAGCCCUUGUGCGCGGUUCAACAGACCUGCUCGCCUAGGUUUGCAACCUUGUGCCCGUGCCAGUCCCAACACCAUGUUUCUGCAACUUGGAGCCUACAGUCCCACUUGGCACGCAGGCACCUAGGGCUUGACAUCCCUAGCAUCAUGUCUGCAGCCUAGGGUUUGGAGUCCCACUUAGCAAGCAGGUACCCAGGGCUUGCCAGCCCCAGCGUUAAGUGUCUGCAGCUGCACCAAAAUUAGAACUAACCCAGGGAGUGGAUCUGCAACCUCAUGAUGCUCCCACCCACCAAGCAUUAUAAUUUACAGUGAAAUCACUUAUAAUACACAAUAACUCUUCUUAACUAGUGUAAUCCACAAAUAAAAUGUUUUUAAUUCAUAAUUUCUUCUGCUGUAAUAAAAUAUUAUUAUUAUUUUUAGUUAUAGUUAAUUGAUAACUUCAGCAGCAAGACCAUUAAGUAAUACUCUAAAAGGCGUGUGAAAACUAUUGUAGCUUUCCCACACCUUUUACUAAUAUAUUUACUUAUUAAUAUAUUAUAUUAUUAUAAUUAUUAUAUUAUAAUUAUAAUUAUAAUAAUUAUUAUAUUAUAUUAUAUAACUGUUUUUUUUUAAUGAUUUUUUUGUUUGAUUUAAUUUGUUAAUGUUAAAUUUUUUUAUUUAGUUAUCAGAUUUUCAUGAUACGGAUCUCGGGUUUGAUGGGUUAACCUGAUUUGACGAGUUAACCCGGAUUUUUUUUUAAUUAUUUUUUUUUCAUUUAGUUUAGUUUGUUAAAGUUAAUUUUCUUUAUAUUUAAUUAUCAGACUUUCAUGACACGUAUCUUGGGCUUGACGAGUUAACUUGGUUUGAUGGGUUAACCCAGUUAAUUUUGGGUAAACCUGUCAUUUGCUUUCUAUUUAGUUAUCAAACUUUCAUGACGCGAAUUCCAGGUUUUACGGGAUAACUUGGUUUAGAGGGUUAACUCAAUUAAUUCAAAAAAAAAUUUCUUUUUCUUUAUUAGUUGUUUUCUUCCUGUUGAUUUUUUUUAUUUGUUUUUUUUAAUCCAUCUAUUUAAUUAUUACACUUUUAUGACACGAUCUUAUAGCCAGACCCACAUCCAAUAUUUUUGGAUCCAGUGUUGCAGCUAGGCUUACUUAAACUUGGGUUAUGCAAGUUUAAUGUUAUUAUUAAUAUUAUAGAUAUUACUUUUACGUUAGGCGUUGCAACAAAACCCAAGAUUCUUGGGUAUAGCUUUACAAAAAAAUCCAAGAUUUUUAAAUCUUUGUUUUUUUAUAUAUUUUUUUAUAAAAAAAUAUAAUUUGUGGUAUCGGUCGGGUCAUGGAACUAGUAAUCUAUUAUUAGCUGAUAUCACGUGAGAAUAAUCUUCGUGCCCUUGGGCUGCAAGGCAAAUUAGGAUUUAUAUUAUCGUUCUGUCGUUUUCACUUUUUAUUUUUUUUGUUCUUCAAAUCAACACACGUUAUUUUGGUGUUUGUUAAACAAUGGGACAAGAGAUGGGUUAUAAGUUUGUCAAGGAAAAACAAAAGGUCGACGUCAUUGGAAUCAAUAAAAUAAGUAACCAUUUGGGAACGAUAUUGAAAUAUGUUUUUAUAAAAUUUAAAUAUUUUUUUAAUUAAAAUUUAAUAUAAUUUAUAUAUUUUCGUUUUGAUAUGUUAUAUCAAAAAUAAUUUUUUAAAAAUAAAAAAAUAUCAUUAACAUACAUUUUAACAUAAAAAAUUAUUUAAAAAAAAAAUACUAUCAUACAGCCAACCAUACUCUACAGGAGCUAACAAAAACCCUAUAAAUUCUUCACCAAUCGGGUCUCAUUUCCAUCAAAUUUCAUCGAUCCCAAGUUUGCUGAAGCAGCAGUUUCCAACCAAAAAACAAAAAUGGAAGAUUUUAUUUUAAGAGGGUUUCUGUCCUCUUCUUUACUUCUAUCUCUCUAUGUUGUGUUUAGAGUUAACCUGGUUUGAAGGGUUAACUCAGUUAAUUUAUAUUUUUUUUUAUUAGUUAUUUUCUUCAUGCUGGUUUUUUUCCUAUAAUUUUUUUUUUCUUAAUUUAUUUAAUUAUCAUACUUUUAUGAUAUGAUCUUGCAGCUAGAUCCACAUUCAAGGUUAUUGAGUCUGGUAUUGCAGCCAAAUCCAUUUAAACUUGAAUCAUAUAAGUUUAAUAUUAUUAUUAAUAUUAUAAAUAUUAUUUUUAGGUCAGAUAUUGCAAUCAAAUCUAAGAUUCUUGGGUAUAGUUUUACAAAAAUAUCUAAUACUUUUAAAUUUUAUUUUUUUAUAUAGAAAAAUUUAUCCAUAGCAUCGCGGAAGUUAUCUAAGUAGUACUCUAUUAUUAGCGGAUAUGACGUGAGAAUAAUCUUCGGAGCCUCGGGCUGCAAGGCAUGUCAGGAUUUAUAUUCCCGUUCUGUCGUUUUCAUUUUUUUGUUUUUUUUGUACUUGAAAUCAACACACGUGAUUUUGGUGUUUGUGAAACAACGAGUCAAGAGAUGGGUUAAGUUUGUCAAGAUAAAACAAAAGGCUGUCGUGGGCUUGUGGUGUGAUCUUCUUUUUUUCUCCUUGGAUUCUUGAUGCUUUUUAGGUGGUGUUUUAUAAUAAUGAUUAUUUUUUAAUAUAUGUUUUAUUUAAAAAUAUAUUAAAAUAAAUUUUUUAUUUUAAAAAAUUAUUUUUAACAUUAAUUAAUCAAAAUAAUAUAAAAAUAUUAAAUAAAAAAAUUAAAAUUUUUAUAAAAACAUUAUAUUUUUAAAAGUCACUGACCAAUAAUUCUACAUUGACAGGUCAGAAUUAUUUGUACUAAAACAUCAAAGUUAUCACAUCAACAUAAUUAAAAAUUGUUGAAAAAAUUCAUUUUAAAAUAAUUUAAUUUUUUUAUAUAAAAAACAUGUAUUAAUCAUGUAAUUCAUUGGCUAACAGCAAGUGUUUUUUUUUUUUUUUUCUAGAUUUUGAUAUCUAAAAGUUUACUAGAUCCUAACUAAUCAAAUCAAACUAUAUUAAUUUAAUAAAAAAUAAUUAUAAUUUAAUUAUAAUAUACUCAAUUUACCAUACUCCAAGUCAAACACUUACUUAAUAAUAAUAAACGUCCAAUCACUUGACUAAUCACCAUUUUCGGUUGGUGAUAAAUGUGUUUGUUUGAAAAUGUGUUUAGGAUAUUUUUUAAAAUAUUUUUAAUUAAAAAAUAUAUUAAAUGAUAUUUUUUUAUUUUUAAAAAAUUAAUUUUUAUUUUAAUGCAUUAAAAUGAUGUGAAAAAUCAAAAAUAUAUUAAUUUUUUUAAAAAAAUAACAGUGAGAUAGCACUAUAAAUUUCAUCCACCCCAGGUAUGCUGAAGCAGCAGUUUCCAACCAAACAACCAAAAAUGGAAGAUUUUAUUUUCAGAGGGUUUCUGUCCUCUUCUUUACUUCUAUCUCUCUAUGUUGUGUUUAGAGUUGCUCACACUUUUUGGCUAAAGCCGAGAAGCCAAGAGAAGCGUUUGAGGAAGCAAGGGAUCAGAGGCACUUCUUACAAGCUUUUGAAUGGUGAUAUGAAAGAGUUUGCAAGGUCUUCUAAAGAAGCUAGGUCCAGGCCCAUUGCUCUAAAUCAAGAAAUUGCACCACGUGUCCUUCCAUUCUUUUAUAAAAUGGUGCAAAUUUACGGUGAGCAGCAGCUUCACAGGCUAUCUCAUUUUUUCAGAUUUUUUUUUAUUAUUUUUAGGAAUUUCUGUUCAUACAUAUACUUGGUAAUCGGUAUUAUCCUGAUUUGUAAUGCGAACGAGAACAGGAAAGGUCUCCCUGUGUUGGAUGGGGACAAGACCUAGCCUGCUAUUAGCUGAUCCAGAGCUGGUGAGGUUGGUGUUAACAGACACGAGUGGUCACAUUAUAAAGCAACCGCGAAAUGCCCUUGUGGGUCUGUUAAACCUGGGAGUCUCAACCUUGGAAGGAGACAAAUGGGCCAAGCGCAGAAGGUUGAUGACACCUGCCUUCCACGCUGAGAGAUUAAGGGUAACUUCACCUACCUGAAUCUUGCAAGUUUAAACAUUCUUAAGAAAUUUUUACAGCUUGCAUUUGAAAGUUUAGAAUCUAUUCGGACUUCUUUACAUUUUAUCAAUUGACCAAUGUGCUGCAUAAGCAAAAACUGAUCCAGAAAACAUUCAUCAAUGUAAGCAUAUGUCAAGAAGGAGUGAUAGAGAGUUUCAUAAAUCAUAUUUUGGAACCUUUGCUUUAGCUAUUGGAUUGAGGUAGUUCUAUGACAUAGUAUUUUAUGGAUUAAGAUGGUUCUUUUACAAGUUGAGGAGAUGGUACAGCUAUACACACCAAAACGGUACUGUAGUCAAACUUGAGAUGUUUUUAUAAGGAUUUUCGGAUUCCAGAUCUUUAGCCUUCAAUCACUAGCUUUUUUAACUUUUGAAUUGAAUCAACGUUUGAUAUGGUAUUAGAGUCUAUAUGCUGAUUAGUGCUGGUAUGUGAACAGGGGAUGAUCCCAGCAUUUUCAGCCUGCUGUUGUGAUCUGGUUCAGCGAUGGAAGAAAUUAGCAGGUCCUCAGGGAUCAUGUGAAUUGGAUGUUGCACGCGAAUUUAAUAUUCUUGCAAGUGAUGUUAUAGCUCGAGCAGCCUUUGGAAGCAGCUAUGAAGAGGGAAAGAAAAUAUUUGAUCUUCAAAAGGAUCAAGUUAUUUUGGCCCUUGAAGCUUUUUAUUCCAUUUACUUCCCUGGUUUGAGGUACAUAUUAAUGCCAUUUAUCUCUUGCAAAUUCAAGCUUCUCUUGGUGCUUGUUAAAAUUUUUAACCAAUGUCUGAUAAUACAUUAAAUCCCAGUUAACAACAUUUCAUUUCUUUGCGCUUCUCCAACAGAUUCAUACCCUCUAAAAAGAACAAGAAGAGAUACAGUAUAGACAGAGAGAUAAAAGCAGCAUUGAGAAAUAUUAUCCAUAAGAAGGAGCGGGCCAUGCAAAAUGGAGACUCAGGCGAUGCUGACUUGCUAGGCUUGCUUUUACAGGGCAGGGAUGAUGCUGAUAAUGACAUGAAAAUUGAAGAUGUAAUCGAGGAAUGCAAGUUGUUCUUCUUUGCAGGCCAAGAGACCACAGCAAACUUACUCACUUGGACAUUGAUAGUUCUAUCUAUGCAUCCAGUCUGGCAAGAGAAAGCAAGAGAAGAAGUUUUGCAGAUUUGUGGCAAGAGAACACCUGAUAUCGAUAGUAAAAACAACUCAGAAUUGUAAGUACUUCUUUUGUUCACGCAUUAAUUUACAUGUUUUGUAGCUACAGUCAACUCCUUGGAAACGAUUAUAAAUCCUUGGUUUAUGAAACUAAAUAAAUUUGCAGGUCUCAAUGAUCUUAAACGAGGUACUAAGACUAUAUCCACCUGUGAAUCUUCUGUAUCGACAUACUCUAAAGGAAACAAGCAUUCGAGGAAUGUCCAUUCCAGCUGGGUAGACCUCCUGUUACCAUUCCUGUUUCUUCACUAUGAUCCUGAGUAUUGGGGAGACAACGCAGAAGAAUUCAAACCAGAGAGAUUCUCUGAAGGAGUUUCGAAAGCAUCAAAGGAUGAAAUUGCAUUUUACCCUUUUGGUUGGGG